rnacentral:lncRNA from 1 species
CGAUCUCUUGUCCUCAUGAUCUGCCUGCCUCAGCCUUCGAAAGUGCUGGGAUUACAGGCAUGAGCCACUGUGCCGGGCCUGAACCAGGCAUAUUUCUAGGCACUGGGAGAAAUUAUCUCAUUGCACAUUAAUGGGAAGAAGAAAACAUAAACAGAUAAAGAAAUAUCUAGAAUGUCAUAUUGUGGUAAGUGCUGUGAAGAAAAACAAAAUGGAGUAAGGAUAUAGGGAAUGACAAAGAAGUAUUUUAGGAAGCACGGACAAAAAAGCUUCUCUGAGGAGAUGACAUUUGCAAAUACAAGUGAAUGACAGGAAGGAGGGAAGCCGAGUGAGACGCUGGGAGAGAGAGCUUGCAGGCAGAGGAAAGAGCAAGUGCGCAGGCCCUCAAGCUGGAAGGUGCUUGGCAGGACUGAGGAACAAGGAGGCCAGUGUUGUUGGAUGAGAGUAGGGAAGGGGGGAAUAGGAACACAUGAUACAGGAGAAGGGACCAGGAGCUUGAUAGAGUACAGUGUACGUGCCCCAACAAGGACUUUGGAUUUCAUUCUUUUCUUUCUUUCUUUUUUUUUUUUUUUUUUUUUGAGGCAGAGUCUCUCUCUGUCACCCAGGCUGGAGUGCAGUGGCAUGAUCUCGGCUCACUGUAACCUCCGUCUUCCGGGUUCAAGUGAUUCUCCUGCCUCAGCCUCCCAAGUAGCUGGGAUUACAGGCAUGCACUACCAUGCCCGGCUAAUUUUUUGUAUUUGUAAUAGAGACAGGGUUUUGCCAUGUUGGCCAAGCUGGUCUUGAACUCCUGACCUCAGGUGAUUCGCCCACCUCAGCCUCCCAAAGUACUGGGAUAACAGGCGUAAGCCAGUGCGCCCAGCCUGGAUUUCGUUCUGAGAGGGAUGAGACGUCAUUGGAGGAUGGAGAGGAGGAGGUAGGAUGAUUUGAUAUGUAGUUCUGAAGGAAGACUCUAGCUGUUCUGUCGCAGAGGAAGAGUAGGAGGAUAAGGGUGGAACCAGGGGUUCCUGUUAAAAUACUACUGCAGCGUGCAGGUGAGAGAUGUAGGGGGCAUGGACUAAGAGGGUAGUGGUGGUAGCAUGGAGAGUUUUGGAAUCAGGAUCAACAGAUUUUCUAAGUAGAACCGGGAUAGCAUUUGUUGAUGAAUUGUAUUUAGGGUAAGAGGAAGAGGAGUCAACAUGUACGAUGCUUUAAAACAAAAUUGAGACAAUUCUAUAUAGAGUUUGGUCAAAACUCUUUUAAAAAUGUUCUUAAAUUACUUUUGGAACAAGACACUUACUUAUAGCAAAUUAGAAGAACUCGAGUUGGGGAGACACAAUAUAUUCAUAGAUGGAUGGAUAGCACCAUUUAAAAAAGCAGAUGGUAAUUGCACAUCGUACAAAUUGCCCCAGAAGGUAAGGAAAGGAAGAGGCCCCUAGGUCUGGAGGAGGCAGGUAGUGUUGAAAGAGGAAGGUAGAGUUAGACCAGAUAGAGGUGGAUUGAGGGCUGAGCCUCAGGGCUUAGGACAGGGUGGUAGGAAAAACACUGUCUUUCGAGUGGGAGGAAUUAGGCUCAAGUUCCAGUGCAGCCACUUACCAGGUUGACAAAUCCUGUUCACCAGAAAUUACAGCAGAGAUUGUAGACAGGAAGCUGCAGAGGAAAGAGGCACAAUGAGAAAUCAAGCUUGGACACAUUUGGUAGACUCCUAUAGUUAGAAUCUUACUGUGGCUGUCAUUGGGACCACACUGGAAGAAGGUGGUGGAACGGGAAUCCCCUGUGGAAAAAUGACUUUUGUUGUUGUUGUUGUUGUUGAGACAGAGUCUCGCUCCAUCACCUAGGCUGGAGUGCAGGGGCGCAAUCUCAGCUCACUGCAACCUCUGCCUCCCAGGUUCAAGCGAUUCUCCUGCCUCAGCCUCCUCAGUAGCUGGGACUACAGGCACCUACCACCACACCUGGCUAAUUAAGGUAUUUUUGGUAGAGGCAGGGUUUCUCCAUGUUGGCCAGGCUGGUCUUGAACUCCUGACCUCAAGCAAUCUGCCUGCCUUGGCCUCCCAAAAUGCAGGGAAAUACAGGCGUGAGACACUGCGCCCUGCCAAGAACUUUCAUUAUCAAAGGAAAUGCAGCAAAGGAGCUUCUUCCUCCCACCAAGCCAGUGACGGGUCUGUAUUCAAUGAAGUUGUCAUUCAAACCAGGACUGGGAAGCAACUGAUCUGUACCUUACCAUCAUAGGAAGCUCACCCCGUAGCACAGGGGAAACACUAGGAGGGCUGCAGGUUUGGAGUCUGUAGACUGUGCCACUUGGCUGCGUUUCCUUUCUUAGUCACUUAAUCAGUCUGAAGCUUAGGGUCCUCCUUAUAAUGUGAGGAUAUUAAUAGUUUCUCCUUUCCUGGGAUUUAUGUGAAGAUCAAGUGAGUAACAAAUGUGAUAAUACUUUAUUAACUGUUAAUCACACUACAAAUCUAAGGGUUUAUUACUGUGAUUUCUUUGUCUCACCUUUCCAUUCUCUUGCCUUGAAGGUUUUUUUUUCUUUUCUUUGAGACAGAGUUUCGCUCUUACUGCCCAGGCUGGAGUGCAAUGGCACGAUCUCGGCUCACUGCAACAUCCACCUCCUGAGUUGAAGCGAUUCUCCUGCCUCAGCCUCCCGAAUAGCUGGUAUUGCAGGCGCCCGGCUAAUUUUUGUAUUUUUUAGUAGAGACAGAGUUUCUCCAUGUUGGCCAGGCUGGUCUUGAACUCCUGACUUUGUUAUCCGCCCACCUCAGUCUCCCAAAGUGUUGGGAUUACAGGCGUGAGCCACCACGCUCGGCCUUUUUAAUACAUAUUUAUUUAUUUAUUUAUUUAUUUAUUUAUUUAUUUAUUUAUUCUUGCCUUGAAGGUCUUUAAACAUUCAUUCAUGGCCAGGUGCGGUGGCUGAUGCCUGUAAUCCCAGCACUUUGGGAGGCCGAGGCAGGUGGAUCACCUAAGGUCGGGAGUUCGAGACCAGCCUGACCAACAUGGAGAAACCCUGUCUCUACUAAAAAUAUACACAAAAAAUUAGCUGGAUGUGGUGGCG